GAUGAAGAACGCAGCGAAAUGCGAUACUUGGUGUGAAUUGCAGAAUCCCGUGAACCAUCGAGUCUUUGAACGCAAGUUGCGCCCGAAGCCAUUAGGCCGAGGGCACGCCUGCCUGGGCGUCACACGUCGUUGCCCCCCCAUCUACUCCUUCGGGAUUGCGGGGGGCGGAUGAUGGCCUCUCGUGCGCCUCGUCGCGCGGUUGGCCUAAAUGCCAAGUCCUCGGCGACGCACGCCACGACAAUCGGUGGUUGCGAAACCUCGGUUGCCUGUCGUGUGCGGUCGUCGCGCAUCGAGGGCUCGAAAAAAUUGCCGGGCUUCGGCUCGACUUUCAACGCGACCCCAGGUCAGGCGGGGUUACCCGCUGAAUUUAAGCAUAUCAAUACGGAGGA
rnacentral:misc_RNA from 1 species